AUUGAACGCUGGCGGCAUGCUUUACACAUGCAAGUCGAGCGGGGAAGGGUAGCUUGCUACCUGACCUAGCGGCGGACGGGUGAGUAAUGCUUAGGAAUCUGCCUAUUAGUGGGGGACAACAUUCCGAAAGGAAUGCUAAUACCGCAUACGCCCUACGGGGGAAAGCAGGGGAUCUUCGGACCUUGCGCUAAUAGAUGAGCCUAAGUCAGAUUAGCUAGUUGGUGGGGUAAAGGCCUACCAAGGCGACGAUCUGUAGCGGGUCUGAGAGGAUGAUCCGCCACACUGGGACUGAGACACGGCCCAGACUCCUACGGGAGGCAGCAGUGGGGAAUAUUGGACAAUGGGCGAAAGCCUGAUCCAGCCAUGCCGCGCGUGUAAGAAGGCCUUUUGGUUGUAAAGCACUUUAAGCGAGGAGGAGGCUACUUGGAUUAAUACUCUAGGAUAGUGGACGUUACUCGCAGAAUAAGCACCGGCUAACUCUGUGCCAGCCGCCGCCGUAACAC
rnacentral:rRNA from 1 species